GACGAACGCUGGCGGCGUGCCUAAUACAUGCAAGUCGAACGAAGUGGGAACGGGUGAGUAACACGUGGGUAACCUCCCAUCAGAGGGGAUAACACUUGGAAACAGGUCCCAAAACCGCUAACGAUGGAUGGACCCGCUGUGCAUUAGCCGUUGGGUGGGGUAACGGCUCACCAAGGCCACGAUGGAUAGCCGACCGGAGAGGGUGAUCGGCCACAUGGGGAUGGGGACACGGCCCAGACUCCUCCGGGAGCCAGCAGUGGGGAAUCUCCGGAAAGGGAGGAAGGUCUGAGAGAGCAACGCCGGGUGAUUGAAGAAGGUUUUCGGAUCGUAAACCUCUGUUGUUGGAGAAGCGGUAUCGAACCAGAAAGCCACGGCUAACUACGUGCCAGCCGCCGCGGUAAUUC
rnacentral:rRNA from 1 species